AACGAACGCUGGCGGCGUGGCUAAGGCAUGCAAGUCGAACGAACAUAUCCCAAGGGUAACUGAGGGGUAUGUUAGUGGCGAACGGGUGAGGAAUACAUGGACAACGUACCCUGGACUCGGGGAUAGCGGCGGGCCGCAAGGCUCUUUAGCGAAAGUGCCGGUAAUACCCGAUGAUCCCGCGUGAUCGCAUGAUCGCGCGGGCAAAGCUCCGACGGUCUAGGAUCGGUUCAUGCCCUAUCAGCUAGUUGGUGAGGUAACGGCUCACCAAGGCGGCGACGGGUACCGGGCGUGAGAGCGUGACCCGGCACAUCGGAACUGAGAUACGGUCCGGACACCUACGGGUGGCUGCAGCAACGAAUAUUCCGCAAUGGACGCAAGUCUGACGGAGCGACGCCG
rnacentral:rRNA from 1 species